rnacentral:tRNA from 2 species
GGAGAGGUGGCCGAGUGGUCCAAGGCAAGAGUUUGCUAAACUCUGCCCCCGUAAGGGGGCUCGUGGGUUCAAAUCCCACCCUCUCCG